rnacentral:rRNA from 1 species
CCUACGGGUGGCAGCAGUGGGGAAUAUUGCACAAUGGGGGAAACCCUGAUGCAGCGACGCCGCGUGAGUGAAGAAGUAAUUCGUUAUGUAAAGCUCUAUCAGCAGGGAAGAAAAUGACGGUACCUGAGUAAGAAGCCGCGGCUAACUACGUCACAGCAGCCGCGGUAAUACGUAGGGGGCAAGCGGUAUCCGGAUUUACUGGGUGGAAAGGGAGCGUAGACGGCAGUGCAAGUCUGGAGUGAAAGGCGGGGGCUCAACCCCCGGACUGCUUUGGAAACUGCCAGGCUGGAGUGCAGGAGAGGUAAGUGGAAUUCCUAGUGUAGCGGUGAAAUGCGUAGAUAUUAGGAGGAACACCAGUGGCGAAGGCGGCUUACUGGACUGUAACUGACGUUGAGGCUCGAAAGCGUGGGGAGCAAACAGGAUUAGAUACCCUAGUAGUC